GACGAACGCUGGCGGCGUGCUUAACACAUGCAAGUCGAACGAUGAACCCGGAGCUUGCUCCGGCGGAUUAGUGGCGAACGGGUGGGUAACACGUGAGUAACCUGCCCUUGACUCUGGGAUAACUGCUAGAAAUGGUAGCUAAUACCGGAUACGACCCUCGGUGGCAUCACCAGGGGGUGGAAAGAAUUUCGGUCAAGGAUGGACUCGCGGCCUAUCAGCUAGUUGGUGAGGUAACGGCUCACCAAGGCGACGACGGGUAGCCGGCCUGAGAGGGUGACCGGCCACACUGGGACUGAGACACGGACCAGACUCCUACGGGAGGCAGCAGUGGGGAAUAUUGCACAAUGGGCGCAAGCCUGAUGCAGCAACGCCGCGUGAGGGAUGACGGCCUUCGGGUGGUAAACCUCUUUUAGUAGGGAAGAAGCGAAAGUGACGGUACCUGCAGAAAAAGCACCGGCUAACUACGUGCCAGCAGCCGCCGUAA
rnacentral:rRNA from 1 species